rnacentral:rRNA from 1 species
UACGAGUGGUCCAAGCGUUAUCCGGAAUUAUUGGGCGUAAAGGGUGUGUAGGUGGUUAUGUUAGUCGGGUGUCGAACCUUUGAGCUUAACUCAAAGACAGCAUUCGAAACGGCAUGACUAGAGUAUGUUAGGGGUGAGCGGAACUCAUAGUGUAGGGGUGAAAUCCGUUGAUAUUAUGGGGAACACCAAAAGCGAAGGCAGCUCACUGGGACAUUACUGACACUGAAACACGAAAGCGUGGGUAGCGAAUGGG